rnacentral:rRNA from 1 species
UUUAUUGGAGAGUUUGAUCCUGGCUCAGGAUGAACGCUGGCGGCGUGCCUAAUACAUGCAAGUCGAGCGAAUGGAUUAAGAGCUUGCUCUUAUGAAGUUAGCGGCGGACGGGUGAGUAACACGUGGGUAACCUGCCCAUAAGACUGGGAUAACUCCGGGAAACCGGGGCUAAUACCGGAUAAYAUUUUGAACUGCAUGGUUCGAAAUUGAAAGGCGGCUUCGGCUGUCACUUAUGGAUGGACCCGCGUCGCAUUAGCUAGUUGGUGAGGUAACGGCUCACCAAGGCAACGAUGCGUAGCCGACCUGAGAGGGUGAUCGGCCACACUGGGACUGAGACACGGCCCAGACUCCUACGGGAGGCAGCAGUAGGGAAUCUUCCGCAAUGGACGAAAGUCUGACGGAGCAACGCCGCGUGAGUGAUGAAGGCUUUC